UCUGAAUCUGCGAACGGCUCCGCAAACCAGUUGUAAACUAUAGCAAGCAGGCUCGGGGUCGGCUCUCACGGGUUGGCUUCGGGCGAUAUGGAUAACCCUGGUAAUUCUGAGGCUAAUACAUGAACGUAAAACCUGGUUGACUGGGCUUCGGUCUGGGAGGCUGGGGGAUGUGUGAUUGCAGGCUUGGGUAACACCGGGAAAGGGCACACGUCCAGACCGCGCUAUAAAGGAUGGGACCCCUUCGGGGGACCCGCCCCAGCGGCUCUUGCUGUGUGCUUCUGACCUAUCAACUAGACGGCAGCGUAAGGGACAUGCUAUGGU
rnacentral:rRNA from 1 species